rnacentral:rRNA from 1 species
UAGGGAAUCUUCGGCAAUGGGGGGAACCCUGACCGAGCAACGCCGCGUGAGUGAAGAAGGUUUUCGGAUCGUAAAGCUCUGUUGUUAAGGAAGAACGAGUGUGAGAAUGGAAAGUUCAUGCUGUGACGGUACUUAACCAGAAAGGGACGGCUAACUACGUGCCAGCAGCCGCGGUAAUACGUAGGUCCCGAGCGUUGUCCGGAUUUAUUGGGCGUAAAGCGAGCGCAGGCGGUUAGAAAAGUCUGAAGUGAAAGGCAGUGGCUCAACCAUUGUAGGCUUUGGAAACGGUGUAACUUGAGUGCAGAAGGGGAGAGUGGAAUUCCAUGUGUAGCGGUGAAAUGCGUAGAUAUAUGGAGGAACACCGGUGGCGAAAGCGGCUCUCUGGUCUGUAACUGACGCUGAGGCUCGAAAGAGUGAGGAGCGAACAGG